UAACUGGAUCCAGUUUAUCUUGUUAAAUUGCUCAGUAGUGGUAGAUUUUUGUUUGGUGUGUGUUGGGGGUGGGGUUGGUAUCUUCACUGCUUGCCUUUGUCUAGAAGUCACCACACACCACUGCUGUGAUGUUGGUCUGUGGACGCCUCUCGUGUUCUUUCCAUCCUGCUCAAAGUUUGCUUUCACCUUCCUUGACUUUGUGUUCGUGACUGAUGAUGAUCAUUUCUGAGUGAAGCUCCAUAUGAAGAGUUUGAAGAAGAGAGCUGAACUCUUCUUCAGUCAAAUGAUGUUUCUCUGUCUCUGCAUCUGUUUCUCUGAGUACAGCUGUGUUUGAAAGAACUGGAAAGCCCAAUUCUCCAACAUGUUAACUCUGCUGAUCGUCUUUGAAUCCUGGAUCAGGAGGUGAAGGUAGAAAGUGUGUGUGAG